CUAGGAAGAUCUACCAGUAGAUUGAUUGCCUCCCCUGCCAUUCAGCGCCGCACGGAUUGGUCCCUUCUACUGUCACUCUGCGGGACGGUCCGCCCCUUCCUGCACCAUCAUGUCUUUACUGCAGCUGCGGGAGGCUCUGGAUGGCCAGCGGUCUCCAACCAGAUACAAUUUUCAAAGGGAGGGACCGGAAGCGGCCCGACCCAGCCCAGCCCGGCGCGGAGUCAGAGACUCGGAUCCAGGCGGAGGACGACCAGCUAAGCGGCCAGCAAAGCAGCCAAAGAAGCGACCAGACCGCUUAUGGGAGCCUCGGCUGUGGCAUGGGAGACUCGGCUGCGGCAGUGGGAGACUCAGCGGCGGCAGUGGGAGUCUCGGCAGCGGGUGCCUCAACGGUAGCAGGAGCCUUGGCGGCAACGGGAACCUUGGUGGCAGUUGGGCCUCGCGGUCGAUGAG